GGAGGCCGAGGAUUGAUUAUUUCCUUGUGAAAAAUAUGCUCAUUUUGUAUUGUGAGCUUCUAACUGACGUGAAAACAGUUUUAUAGGAUUGAAGUUAAGCACUGCAGAUUUUUGAGCUCAAUAUGUAUCGUACAGGAAAGGAAUACAUAAUAGAUGCAUGCAUGGGCCACAAUGCAAAAAGAUGAGCUCUUGUGCUUUCCCUAGGACAGAGUACAGUGCCUACCAAUUGUGAGCAUAUCAGUACGAGACCAAUCACA
rnacentral:lncRNA from 1 species